rnacentral:misc_RNA from 1 species
AACAUCGCGCACCUGCGGGAACCUGCGGAGGGAUCAUUGAUGAACUCGAGGCGGCGUCGGACUGUGCUGGCCCCUUGGGGCAUGUGCACGUUCGGUGCCGUCCAUCUCACACACACACCCGUGCACAACACGGAGGUGUGGCGCGUUCGUAGGGUCUGCCGGCGCCUCGUCGGCUCUCCCGGGGACGAGCCGCCCUUCUACUCUUCAUACACACCUUUGACCUGUCGCGCGCGUAGUUGA